rnacentral:sRNA from 1 species
UUUUGUAUUUGAAUGCGCAUGUGUGUGUCCUUUUAAAACUCUUUCCAUUUGUACAAUGACAGAUUUCAGAUUGGAGUUAAUCUGAGCAUGGAAGACUAUGCCCUGAUGUUUGGAAUUAAUCCCUUCAUUGCCUUGAUGAUUCAACCCAUCGUGACGAUGACUGUGGUUGACAACCAAGGACUGGGGCUUCCUGUUGACAUUCAGCACAAAGCAAAGCCCUCACCAAAAGCCAGCCAGAUGCUGCCACCUGAUCUUGGACCUCCCAGCUUCCAGAACUUAUUAAGUCCAUCUGAGAAACUAGAGCCUUGGGACCCAGGGAUGAGGAAACUUACCGUACAGACAUGCAGGCUGACCUUCAUUCACCCUGUGGGCCAUGGCCUCUGCCAUCCAACUGCACAGGCUUCAGCCGAAACUCUCUCCAGCACUGCCCUAAACAGACCAAGUGUGAGGGAGGGAGCAUGUAAUGAAAAGUCCACAGAGAACAAGAAGCCACAAGAUUCGGUGCUCUGAAGCCAUUCUAGAUGGUUUCAGGGGAACUAGCUUCCCACCUCUGACAGGGAUACCAUGGCAAAUACCACUCUUUACCUAGGAUUAUAAUUCUUUGUGCACAACGCAUCCCAUCCCAAAGACAGUCCACAGCAGGACUUGCUCCAUCUCUGAACUGGUCUUACCCCCUUAAACCUGCCUUUAUAUCUAGGAGUUUCUUUAUUUUAUUUUAUUUUUUUGAGACAGAGUCUCGCUCCAUUGCCCAGGCUGGACUGCAGCGGCGUGAUCUCAGCUCACUGCAACCUCCACCUCCUGGGUUCAAGUGAUUCUUGUGCCUCAGCCUCCCAAGUAGCUGGGAUUAAAGGCAUGUGCCACCAUGACUGGCCAAUUUUUAUAUUUUUAGUAGAGAUGAGGUUUCACCAUGUUGGCCAGGCUGGUCUCAAACUCUUGACUUCAAGUGAUCCGCCCGCCUCAGCCUCCCAAAGUGCUGGGAUUACAGGUGUGAGCCACCAGGCCCAGCCUAUAUCUAGGAGUCUCUUGAUGAGCAUUGGUCGACAGAAAGAAGUCUCUUCUAAAAAUUGUUAAUGCUUUUAUAGACUACUCAUAGUCUGAGUCAUAAAACAUCAUUUGCCUUUCAAUUUAUACCUUCCAAGUGAAUGAUGAUUAUUGAGGAUUAUCUAAUUAUUAUCUACUUUUCUCUCUAGGUAUAAAAAACACCAUAGAUCCUAUACACACAAAAAUGGUUUUUCUAUCAGAAAUGGACUCACUCGCCUGGCAAAAGGACACAGAUUAGAUUAUUCUAAUCUCAAGGCCCCUUAGGCUUAUGAAUUCAAAAAAAAAUAGAAGAAAUGAACAAAAACAUAAAUCACAGUUUGUUAUUAAGUAAUAUCUGAAAUGAAUUAGAAAGAAACCAUAAGCCUUAACAAUACUCCAAUCACAGUUAAAUUAAUUUAGACAGAAAAGCAAAUAGCAAUUGACUUGAAAAAUAAGAAGUGGGGCCGAAGGUGGAUACAAGAAAUCCAGGAGGGCUAAGAUAAAUCCCAAAUCCAAUGUUCAUCAAUGCCUACACAUUCAGUACAACCUGAUGGCAUUAAUUCUGUGGUUAGGGAAAUGUGAAAGUGAAAUCGGUAAUACCACAGUUCUAAAUGUGCACUGUUGGCUGAAUUUAUGGUGUGGUGGGGGGUGGCAAAAAUUAGGCUUCUAAGAAAGGAUGGAACUCUGCCCUCCAGGCAAGGAGUAAAUGGCCCCAGCAGAUGGAAAACUAAAGCAAAUGUAAUCACCUGCAAUUUGCAAAUAGGUGUGUUUCUGAGAAUUUGUUUGAAUUAGUUCUUUGUAAAUAAAACAGGAUUUUGAAUGCA